rnacentral:sRNA from 1 species
AGGCCAUCGUGUUGAAAUGUCGGAAAGACGUCCGAGUCUUCGGUCAACGUGAUGAGAUAAGGCUCGACGACGACGCCGGAGGUGUUCGAUCCGAUAUGGCCGAGGAGGUUGUACUGG